rnacentral:rRNA from 1 species
AUUGAACGCUGGCGGCAUGCCUUACACAUGCAAGUCGAACGGCAGCACGGGAGCAAUCCUGGUGGCGAGUGGCGAACGGGUGAGUAAUAUAUCGGAACGUGCCCAGUCGUGGGGAUAACGUAGCGAAAGCUACGCUAAUACCGCAUACGAUCUAUGGAUGAAAGCGGGGGAUCGCAAGACCUCGCGCGAUUGGAGCGGCCGAUAUCAGAUUAGGUAGUUGGUGAGGUAAAGGCUCACCAAGCCGACGAUCUGUAAC